AGGCCUCAGGCUGAUUAACCAAGGUUACACACAACAGCUGGUUUACAAAAAAGGUGACUUCUCCUAUGCUGCUUUCCAGGACAGGGCGUCAAGCACGUGGUAAGUACUGUGUCUCUCUAAUAUAUUAGAUUAGUAAGA